rnacentral:lncRNA from 1 species
UUUAAUCCCAAGGUUUUAUAAGUUCAUUUUCUAGGAUUUUGUAAUUAGGGCUAAAAUGAAAGUUAGGGUUUCUUGUUCAUGUUUAAUUUCCUAAUUACAUAAGUGCUUGAAAAUUAGGUUUAGGUGUACUAAUUAACAUUAAGCUUUAUAAUUUAGCGAUUAGGUUUUCAAUUAGCAAAUUAGGGUUCCUAAUUUAGUAAUUAGGGUUUUUAGUAAUUAGG